rnacentral:rRNA from 1 species
UGGUGGAGUGAUUUGUCUGGUUAAUUCCGAUAACGAACGAGACCUUAACCUGCUAAAUAGUCACACUAACCUUGUGUUGGUGGCCGACUUCUUAGAGGGACUAUUGACGUUUAGUCAAUGGAAGUUUGAGGCAAUAACA